CCUACGGGGUGCAGCAGUGGGGAAUAUUGGACAAUGGGGGGAACCCUGAUCCAGCGACGCCGCGUGAGUGAAGAAGUAUUUCGGUAUGUAAAGCUCUAUCAGCAGGGAAGAAAGAAAUGACGGUACCUGACUAAGAAGCCCCGGCUAACUACGUGCCAGCAGCCGCGGUAAUACGUGGGGGGAAAGCGUUAGCGGGAUUUAUUGGGUUUAAAGGGGGAGCCGGCGGAGGCAAAAGUCAGAGGUAACAUCGCGGGGCUCAACCCCGCUCCGCCGUUGAAACUGUGUCCCUUGAGUGCGCGAAGGGUAGGCGGAAUGCGUGGUGUAGCGGUGAAAUGCAUAGAUAUCACGCAGAACUCCGAUCGCGAAGGCAGCCUACCGGCGCGCAACUGACGCUCAUGCACGAAAGCGUGGGGAUCGAACAGGAUUAGAUACCCCAGUAGUC
rnacentral:rRNA from 1 species